UACGAAGGGGGCUAGCGUUGCCCGGAAUCACUGGGCGUAAAGGGUGCGUAGGCGGGUCUUAAGUCAGGGGUGAAAUCCUGGAGCUCAACUCCAGAACUGCCUUUGAUACUGAGGAUCUUGAGUUCGGGAGAGGUGAGUGGAAACUGCGAGUGUAGAGGUGAAAAUUCGUAGAUAUUCGCAAGAACACCAGUGGCGAAGGCGGCUCACUGGCCCGAUACUGACGCUGAGGCACGAAAGCGUGGGGAGCAAACAGG
rnacentral:rRNA from 1 species